rnacentral:rRNA from 1 species
UCCUGGCUCAGGACGAACGCUGGCGGCGUGCUUCAUACAUGCAAGUCGAACGCGAAUCGGUAGCUUGCUACCGAGGAAAGUGGCGAACGGGUGAGUAAUACGUAGAGAAUCUGCCCUAGAGAGGGGGACAACAGCUGGAAACGGUUGCUAAUACCCCAUAUGAGCGUACCUGAAAUGGUAUUCUUGAAAACUCCGGUGCUCUAGGAUGAGUCUGCAUCUGAUUAGCUAGUUGGGGGUGUAAUGGACCACCAAGGCGACGAUCAGUAGCUGGUUUGAGAGGAUGAUCAGCCACAAUGGGACUGAGACACGGCCCAUACUCCUACGGGAGGCAGCAGUAGGGAAUUUUGCGCAAUGGGCGAAAGCCUGACGCAGCAACGCCGCGUGAUUGAUAAAGCCCUUCGGGGUGUAAAGAUCUGUCAGUGGGGACGAAACUUGACGGUACCCACAGAGGAAGCACCGGCUAACUCCGUGCCAGCAGCCGCGGUAAUACGGAGGGUGCAAGCGUUGUCCGGAAUCAUUGGGCGUAAAGAGUUCGUAGGUGGUUUGUUAAGUUUGGUGUUAAAUGCAGAGGCUCAACUUCUGUUCGGCAUCGGAUACUGGCAGACUAGAAUGCGGUAGAGGUAAAGGGAAUUCCUGGUGUAGCGGUGAAAUGCGUAGAUAUCAGGAGGAACAUCGGUGGCGUAAGCGCUUUACUGGGCCGUAAUUGACACUGAGGAACGAAAGCCAGGGUAGCAAAUGGGAUUAGAUACCCCAGUAGUCCUGGCCGUAAACGAUGGAUACUAGGUG